rnacentral:rRNA from 1 species
CAAUAGCGUAUAUUAAAGUUGUUGCAGUUAAAAAGCUCGUAGUUGGAUUUGUGGCGUACGACGGGCUCCGGGCACUUGUUGUCUGAGUAGCUUGUCGUUGCCAUCCUUGGGUGGAACCUGUGUGGCAUUAGGUUGUCGUGCAGGGGAUGCCCAUCUUUUACUGUGAAAAAAUUAGAGUGUUCAAAGCAGGCUUAUGCCGUUGAAUAUAUUAGCAUGGAAUAAUAAGAUAGGACUUUGUCGCUAUUUUGUUGGUUUGUGCGAUAAGGUAAUGAUUAAUAGGGACAGUUGGGGGUAUUCGUAUUCCAUUGUCAGAGGUGAAAUUCUUGGAUUUUUGGAAGACGAACUACUGCGAAAGCAUUUACCAAGGAUGUUUUCAUUAA